rnacentral:rRNA from 1 species
ACGCUGGCGGCGUGCUUAACACAUGCAAGUCGAACGAUGAUGCCCAGCUUGCUGGGUGGAUUAGUGGCGAACGGGUGAGUAACACGUGAGUAACCUGCCCCUGACUCUGGGAUAAGCGUUGGAAACGACGUCUAAUACUGGAUAUGAUCACUGGCCGCAUGGUCUGGUGGUGGAAAGAUUUUUUGGUUGGGGAUGGACUCGCGGCCUAUCAGCUUGUUGGUGAGGUAAUGGCUCACCAAGGCGACGACGGGUAGCCGGCCUGAGAGGGUGACCGGCCACACUGGGACUGAGACACGGCCCAGACUCCUACGGGAGGCAGCAGUGGGGAAUAUUGCACAAUGGGCGAAAGCCUGAUGCAGCAACGCCGCGUGAGGGAUGACGGCCUUCGGGUUGUAAACCUCUUUUAGUAGGGAAGAAGCGAAAGUGACGGUACCUGCAGAAAAAGCACCGGCUAACUACGUGCCAGCAGCCGCGGUAAUACGUAGGGUGCAAGCGUUGUCCGGAAUUAUUGGGCGUAAAGAGCUCGUAGGCGGUUUGUCGCGUCUGCUGUGAAAUCCCGAGGCUCAACCUCGGGCUUGCAGUGGGUACGGGCAGACUAGAGUGCGGUAGGGGAGAUUGGAAUUCCUGGUGUAGCGGUGGAAUGCGCAGAUAUCAGGAGGAACACCGAUGGCGAAGGCAGAUCUCUGGGCCGUAACUGACGCUGAGGAGCGAAAGCAUGGGGAGCGAAC